rnacentral:rRNA from 1 species
UACAGAGGUCUCAAGCGUUGUUCGGAUUCAUUGGGCGUAAAGAGCGUGUAGGCGGUCCGGUAAGUCGGCUGUGAAAAUCCAGGGCUCAACCCUGGACCUGCAUUCGAUACGGGCAGACUAGAGUUCGGCAGGGGAGACUGGAAUUCCUGGUGUAGCGGUGAAAUGCGCAGAUAUCAGGAGGAACACCGGUGGCGAAGGCGGGUCUCUGGGCCGUAACUGACGCUGAGGAGCGAAAGCGUGGAGAGCGAACAGG